UGACCUUAGCAUGGGUCUUUUUCCUAAGUCAAUUUUUCACUCUGCCAACUUUUUCCUUCUCUCUCUAAAAACUCAUCUUCUAAAUAUUGCUCUGCCUUCUCUCUAAAAUAUCACCCUGUUCAACAGUUCAAUUUUUGAAUAGGUGCUGCUCAAACGUUCACCGCAUCAAGGGCUCCGUAACGGACCGAACGGGUUCUUGUUCCAACCGGAUAAAGGAGACUUAAAAACGCACAUCCCUGAUCAUAGAGCAGCUCUGGCCUGGUCCAGUACGUUGUGACUAGUCAUAUGUGCUAGCACCGAAGGAUGUAUGUAUGGUGUUCUUGAGUGGUUGUAAAGCAUAUGAAUGUGAACUAUGAUGUAAUUGAGUAUGAAGUGGACAUCUCAGGUUGAGAUGAUUGAAAGUGAUGUGUGGGGUGUUGUGGUUGUUCUGUAUAACUGUAUGGAGCUUUGAACUGAUAUGUCUAUCCCUACACUCGAAGCAUUGUUCAUGCUCAAAUAGAGGAGUAGAAGGAGGUUUUCGUCUAUAGUCUUAGAGUUUAGACAUAAACAGAUGGGGGAUUUACCUUGCAUAGUGUUGGGGAGUGUCAGUUGAACUAUGCAAGUGCAAAGACGACAGUUAUACCAAUACGAAUGAGUCGUGUGAGUGUUUGAGUCAUGCUUUAAAGUGGUAUGUCUUGAUUGUUCUUUAUAUGUAGCUA